UACGGAGGGUGCAAGCGUUAAUCGGAAUUACUGGGCGUAAAGGGUGCGUAGGUGGUUUAUUAAGUUAUCUGUGAAAUUCCUGGGCUCAACCUGGGCAGGUCAGAUAAGACUGGUAGACUCGAGUAUGGGAGAGGGUAGUGGAAUUUCCGGUGUAGCGGUGAAAUGCGUGGAGGUCGGAAGGAACACCAGUGGCGAAGGCGGCUACCUGGCCUAAUACUGACACUGAGGCACGAAAGCGUGGGGAGCAAACAGG
rnacentral:rRNA from 1 species